rnacentral:lncRNA from 1 species
CACUUAGAAUUAUUUGAGCAUAUGAAAACAACUAUUUUAUCUUAGCAUGUAUAUAGCAAGAAACCCACCAAUCUACAAUCUUAUCAUGACAUAGAAAAAUACGAGGGUCUAGUACCCUCAAAACUCUACCACACUCAUGUCGACAAGUUAACCAAAUAGUGCAAGGAUUAAAUCACAUGAAAAUCACAAAAUGACAUCUUAUCACGAAAUGACAUUUUUACACAUUUGCUCAAAAGACAAAACUAAAGGCACCACUGAAUUCCUGGGACUGUAGAGAAAAUCAUCAAUAAAUAUAUCACCAAAUCACCAUACAAGUUAUAAGUCAAAUCAUGUCAAAAUUGGC